rnacentral:rRNA from 1 species
GACAGAGGGUGCAAACGUUGUUCGGAAUUACUGGGCGUAAAGCGCGCGUAGGCGGCAGCGUGUGUCGGGCGUGAAAUCCCACGGCUCAACCGUGGAAGUGCACUCGAAACUGCGCAGCUGGAGUCUCGGAGAGGAAGGCGGAAUGCUUGGUGUAGAGGUGAAAUUCGUAGAUAUCAAGCGGAACACCGGUGGCGAAGGCGGCCUUCUGGACGAUGACUGACGCUGAAGCGCGAAAGCGUGGGGAGCAAACAGG